ensembl:lncRNA
AUUAUGAGAGGUACUUGUUUUUUAUAUAUAUAUAAAUAAAUUUGCUUUUUAGGGCUGCACCCGCAGCAUAUGGAAGUUCCCAGGCUAGGGGUCUAAUGGGUGCUACAGCUGCCAGCCUUUGCCGCAGCCACAACAACGCCAGAUCCGAGCCAUGCCUGUGACCUACACCACAGCUCAUGGCAAGGCCGCAUCCCCACCGCGCUGAGUGAGGCUCCAGGGAUUGAACACGCAUCCUCGUGGAUCCUAGUCAAAUUCACUACUCCUGAGCCACAGUGGGAACUCCCGUUAAUGAUCAUUUUUAAAACGUUAACUCAUCUGCUCUCCAUGCCUUUCCAUCCAGGCUUCAGGUAACCCAGCCGCUUUCUCUUUGCCUCCCCUGUUGUUGAACAGGAAAACCUGUCUUAUAGUCUGUGCAAAGAGCUCUCCUGGCUUUGGGAUGGAAGUGUAUUAAAAAGGGCUGUGGGUGAGGAGUAGGGAUGUGGGUACGACGUCUCUGAACCUGACGACCAGGUGUAGACUAGAGCUUUUCUCCCCUGCACGUGGCCUUCCCGACGUCCUUCCCCUGAGUUGCCAACUUAGGAGACUCUGAAGCUGGAAAUCUCACACCUGAUGAUGAAAUUCUUACAAACCAGGUCCCACCGCCCUCCAGCUGAUUCCUCCUUGUUCUCUCUCCGUCUCCUCUCUGGAGAAAUGAAGGUCGUGUUUUGCUGGCUGUCCCCAGUACUGAGACAGGCAUGGUAAGCCCUUUCGUCCUCCCAAGGACCAGGCCUAAUGCUCCGUGGGCGGCAGGAGUCACGCCCAUUCAAGAGGGAAGGAGGCGGAGAAGGAAGCGAAUGGCAGGUGUUACCUUUUCACAUACAUUUUUACAACCCGACUUAUUAAAACUUCAGGAUGGGAAACAAUGUCUUAGUCGUUACCCACUAGUAAUUCUUAAGUGUGGGAAUCAAAACAAUUGUGUUAUUCUAACUUGGAGCAGCGUUGGGGGACAGAGAAGGCACAGUGCCCACCAGACUGACACGGUAUCUCGAGGCCAAAAAACAAAGUAAGCAGCUUCCUGUCAUCAGGGGGCCCAUUUGUUAAAGGGUGACUUACUCACGGGCUGGGAUCCGGCAGAUAACAAUCUGGAAGCAUUUAGAGCUGCACUGUGCACCGACAAGAGGCCCUUGGGACAAAUUUAUAGGUAACCUUGGCCAUGUGGGGACAUGUUUGGGACUGCGUGCCAGGAAUAUGUCAGCAAAGGUUUUCAUCAUUGGGGACUAAUAGUGUAUGGAGGCCGCCUGGUCCUAAUGAUUGUUAAACACUGUUUAUUGUCUACAAAGCCCUUGAUGACAAAGUAGUGGUUUCCCGCCCCGUGUAGUCUUGGGUCGGCAGGAGGACAGGAGGACCUGUCUGGACCCAGGGCGGUGUCAGUGACACUAACGGCCAUACGAGCAGCGUACCAGUAACUCAGCCCGAGUUCCUGUGUGGAGCCAUUCGUGUGGGGGGAGUGUGUGUAACUGUGGUGGAUGCUCUGGCAAGGCCCCGACUGCCCCUUCAGAGCCGCUCCUUCCUCGUGUACCCACGGUGCUGGCUGCAGAUGGCCUCUGUCUCUGCGGCUCUGCCUUCGGCCUUGGGAGCUGCUUCACCCGGCUCACCCUCCUUUCGCAAGGGUAGGUAGCCCAUGACUGAUGCCUACUCAGUGUUGAAGGGCAAAGGUCCGGGGCCCUUUCCUCUCUUCACAACUCCCAAGGGUGCUCUGAACCCGAGAGCACGCGCCACCCUGAAUUGCAGCCCUUUCCCACCUGCCCCGAUUGGUGCCUUCUAUCUGUUUUGGGAAAUUCUCAGCCAUUUCUUUUGUACAUAUCUUUCUCUUCUGUUUUGUCAAUUUUUACCCUCCGAAAAUCCAUUGUGUUAGAUGGUACUUGAUCGUCAUGUAUGUGAAUUUUGUCUGUUAUUCUCUUACACUUCUUUUUUGUUUACCAAAAUGAUUAUUGGCUCACAAUAUUUUCCAAGAUAAUCAUAUUUUUUAUUUUUCAAAAGAUUAUUUACCAAAAAUUACGUAUUUUCCAUAGCCAUUUCCCCAGAGCCAAUUCCCAAUGGUUACAACCAAUCAAAAAAUAUUGAUUGUAAUUUUUAAUUAUUAACCUCUGUUCCUUGAAAUAUGUUCCUUGAAAAGUCUUCCUCAAAGACUGAAAAGUCGUUGAGACUUGGCUCCAAAGAGGAUUUUCUUUGAUCACAUCAGGUGCCUAAGAGAAGCUAACUUGAGAUCACUUUAAACUAAAGCAUUGGGUUUGCACGUUUUGGGCCCAUUGAGCAGGCUGGUUUUCUGCUCCCGUCCCAAACUAGAAUGAGUGUGUAAAGGGUUCUCAGAGGAGACCUGCUUCCCUUUACUGUUUUUCCUAGAGCCAGAGGCGGAUGCCGAAUUCCCUUCAUCUCGUAUUGGUGGGGGUAGGUAGUCAUGACAGCUUCCCCAGGGGAUGAUUGGCGGUCUGAUUGAUGAUUAAGGGGCCCUGGCUUUGUGGGCUGGUCGCCAACCCCAGCUGAGCCUCAGGCUUGUCUCCUGUCACUCAGAGACCCUGAGAUGCACGUCUUGUAAAGACGUUUCGUAUGUCUGCUCAUUGUGCCUUUCCUCUCCACUAGAGUGCGAGCCGCUUGAGAACACAGGCCGAGUCUUAUUCAUUUUAUGAACCGGUAAAAAAGGGUUCAGGAUCGGCAUUGAUUUAGGGUAUGUUUGUUGAACUGGAGUAGAGUAUAUGUUGAAACAGCUUGACUCUUUAGGGGAGACCGUUUAACUUUUACCCAGGCUGGUUUUGUUAUUUCCCUUUCUGGCUGCUGUAAUUGUACGCAUCCUUCGACGGUAGUGUUUUAGGUAUGUCCAUAUAAUUGUUUUUUAAAAUGUGUGCUUCCACUGAAUUGUGAUAUUUCUGAGGGAAGGAAAUGAUCAUUUUUAGAGUUUUAUCUCCUCUUACAGUUUGACGUACUCUAAGAGGUUUCAAAAUCAUCUAUUAAAUGUACACCCUUAAAAGAGGAGAGGGAGUUCCCGUCAGGGCUCAGCAGAAACAAACCCACUAGCAUCCAUGAGGAUGUGGGUUCGAUCCCUGGCUUCACUCUGGUGUUGUUAUGGCUGUGGCGUAGGGCAGCAGCUGUAGCUCCGAUUCAGCCCUUAGGCUGGGAGCUUCCAUAUGCUGCAGGUGCAGCCCUAAAACGCAAAGAGAAAAGAAAAGGGGGGUACAGAAAGGCGAUAAGAGACAGUGGUAGAAUUAUAGUCUUCACGCAUACGCCACAUGUAUUCCUGGUGAGGUAUUUUUAUGUUACUCCGGCUCAUAGAAAAGCUCACUCUGAAGAGGUUUAGUUUGUUUCUGCCUUCUCCAAUUCCAUGCCUUUGCCUGGUCAACAAAAUAAAUAAUUGACUUCCCAUCCCUCUGAAAUCCGCUAAUUGAAAACCAGCUAAAGGAUCUAUACUCCAGCUAGUUAAUAGUUAACAUUUUCUGGCUCCAUCUCCUUCAUUUCAAAAUGACACCAGUGAAUGUUACAGAUUUAAAUGACUAAGUCAUGAGAUUGAACCAGACUGGACUUUCUGAAACAGUUUGGUGGAAAGAAAACCCCUCACCAGGAACAAGCCCCUUGUAAGUGGAAAAGGACGCUUCUACUGGGAGGGGACAAUUUUGUAAUUGGAAUUUGUUACAAUAGCUUGUUUCUUAUAGUACUUUACCUACUAUAACUGAUGAUUAACUUUAGUAACUAAAAGGUGUGUCUCCUAUGCAGAUGCUCCUGUUUAGGUAAAUUGUUCAUGUGAGCUCAAAUAGCAAUAAUAAAGAUAAAAUACAUUUUAAUGGGUAAGAUGGAAAUUGCAAAAAUAACAAUAAAGACACAUAUUCAAGUAGAUUUUAAAGAUUCAAAUGUAACUUUCUACCAUCUAAAAGUUACCAUUUGGAAUAUUAACUUUAUUGAGGUAAUUACAUCUGGAAGGGUGAUUUGUCUAAAAGUCUAUAAAAUACGGCAAGAUUAAUAUUUCAUCAAAAUAAAUCCAUGUCCUCUGACUCCUAAAUAGGACCCGAGAAAAAUGUUAGUCUUAAGGCUAAUGCUUUAAUUUGUGAUUGAUACUCUUUUUUGAGAAAAAUAAAAUACUUCUUUUUUAGAUCUGUAUACUUUCUUGUUCCUUUAAGAUUAAUUUAUAUACAAUGCAUGUCAGUUGGAAAGACUGAUUCUUUGUAAAGGUAAUUAGCAAAGGAAAUUGUUAAACAAGAACUAUGUUUUAAUUGCUUUUGUGUUCUUGGUUAUUUUUUAGACUGGAGAUGAAAAACUCAAACGCUAGAUAAUGAAAUAUGCAUUACCAGCAUUUAAUUCUCAGUCUUGAAAUUGUUUCAUCACACAAACAUCAACAUAGAAUCAAAGGUGUGUAUGUAAUGCUGAUGAAAUCACUCUGAAAGUUAUAUGUAUAUAUUGAUUAUCUCCUUGGAGUAAUUUAUUUUCCUCUUCUUUUAAAUAUUAAUAAAAAUGAGGGUGA